GCCGUGGGGGCUUGGCUGGUUGUUCGCAGCUGCAGCUGCAGGUGCAGGUGGAGAAGCACCAUGCUCUUUGUUGUCCUUUCAGGACCCCAUCCCUGUGUCCACUGCCCUCCUUGGAGACACGUCCGAUACGACGUCCACCGGCCUUGCCCAGCGCUUAGCCAGGAAGACCAACAAGCAGGUGUUUGUCAGCUAUAAUCUUCAGAACACAGACAGCAGCUUCGCGUUCCUGGUGGAGAACAGGAUCAAGGAGGAGAUGGAGGCCUUUCCAGAGAAGUUCUAGCCGCGGGGCGGCGGCGGGGGCCUGGCUCGAGCAGAGGCUUAAAUAAAUGGACUGGAGCUCUCACUGCC